rnacentral:rRNA from 1 species
AAGACAUUGAGAGUUUGAUCCUGGCUCAGGACGAACGCUGGCGGCGUGCCUAAUACAUGCAAGUCGAGCGGGUAUCGAAAGAUACCAGCGGCGGACGGGUGAGGAACACGUGGGGAAUCUGCCUAACAGACCGGAAUAACGCCUGGAAACGGGUGCUAAGGCCGGAUAGGCGCAUGAGGCGCAUGCCUGAUGCGGGAAAGGAUGCUACGGCAUCGCUGAGAGAGGACCCCGCGGCGCAUUAGCUAGUUGGUAGGGUAAAGGCCUACCAAGGCGACGAUGCGUAGCCGACCUGAGAGGGUGACCGGCCACACUGGGACUGAGACACG